CGCGGGGGCUCAGAGAAGGCGGAGGGGGCGGUGAGGCCCGAACGCGGGAAAGGCGGAGACCCCGCCUCCCCGGGGCGGAGGGAGAGUUGGGCUCGUUGCUCCAGCCUCCGCCCGCGGCCUCGGGGCACGGCGGGCCCAGGCCGGAGGAGCUUUCGGUGGCGCGACCCCGCUGGCAUGCUCCCGGCCUCGGCCUCGGCCUCGGCCUUGGCCUCCGGGCCUCCAGCGCACGCGGGGCGUCCAGGGCCUCAUCUUCCCCUGGGGACCGCCCGGCCGUGUCCCGCUGCCCUCGGCGCAGGGGUGGGAGUUGCAGAGAGGAAGAGUCGCUAACCCGGAGUGUUUCUUAAAACUUGGCUGACCUGUGACCUGCGGAUUUGGAGGCUGAAUUCUCCGAGCACCUGAAGCUACUGCAGGAUAUAAUCUAAGAAAAUAAGGGGAAGAAAACAAGAAAGAGGAAGACAUUGGAUCCAAGAAAUGGGGGAUCUAUCACCUUACAGAUGAAAAGAGAAUCUACAUGAUCUUUGUGAAGACAGAUAUGACCUUGGGACUUGCUUUAGCCAGUGGAAUGGAAGCAGAAGUAACCUGUAAUUUCCAGGCCCGAGUUCCUGCCACUUCAAGACUUCACCACCUGAGACAAUGAGCAGCAGCAAAGGGAGAAAGCAGCUGCUCAAAUUCUCCAGUAUGUGUGGAUGGAGUGAGGAGGGAUGCUGGGAUAAAAUACUUAGAGAAAAACCCCAGCCCAGGGGCAUGGGCCCAAAUACUGAGGGGCAAAACCUGAACCAGAAGCACCUAUAUGAUGAGAAAGUGAAGAAAAAAAAGGAUGACAGUAAAAUGGUACUGGAAUUAGGGACAUCAUAAAAAUUGACCUCGGUUUUAGAUGUUGAAGAAAUGACAAAAUGAAUAGAAAAAUUAGUAGAGUUAAUAUUUAUGUCUAAUUAUUAUGCAGUAUAUUUCUAUAUAUAAUGUGUUAAUAAAACUUAAAUGUAUUAAAACUAAAUUUUUCUCAAGUUGUAUUUGAUUAGAACAGUAAACUCUGACAUAACAAAUAAUAAGCUUUAUAAACAGUGGCUUACACAGCAUGGAGAUGUGCUCACACUCCAAAACAUCAGAGGGCAUGCUCACUACAAUGUAUCCUCUUUUGAAUAGAAGGAAACUAUACCUUUGGAUCCCUCUCUUCCCUUGGGGCUCACAGAUACAGGACUCAUGCUGAGUUCCUAACCUAAACUCUAAGACUUGUUUCUCAUAAAAAUUUCUCUUUAAUAGUCUUCUUGCUAUACUGUAGUAAUGUUUUAUAACAUUUUUUCCUAUUUUUUUUUCCCGAAAAAAAGAAUAUUUAGGCCAGGUGUUGUGGCUGAUGUCUAUAAUCCCAGUACUUUGCGAUGCCGAGGUAGGAGGAUCACUUGAGCCCAGGAGUUUGAGACUGGCCUGGGUAACAGAGCAACAUAACAUCUCUACUAAAAUUAAAAAGAAAAAUAAAAGGAAAAAAAAGGCAGGUGUGGUGGCUCGUACCUGUAGUCCCAGCUACUUGGCGGGACUGACGGGGUUGGAUCGCCUGAGCCUGGGAGGUUGAGGUUGGAGUGAGCCCCGAUCGCGCCACCGCACUCCAGCCUCAGCAACAGAGCAGGACUCUGUCUCAAAAAAAAAAAAAGAAUAUUUGAAAUAUUGAAUUUUUAAUUUUCCUAAAAAAUACUUACAUCAUUGAAUUUAUGAAAAUUUCUAUUCCUACCCCAUAGAUAACUUACUACACUUCAGUUUUCAUUAAAGUCCACUACCCAAGAGUCUUCCCAAAGCUUUUGUGUCAUCUGAAGUCAAGGUCUAUUUGAAGGCUGAGUGAUUUUUUUUCUGAGAAGU
rnacentral:lncRNA from 1 species